UGUGAACUCGAAGAGUAGGGCGGGACACGUGGUAUCCUGUCUGAAUAUGGGGGGACCAUCCUCCAAGGCUAAAUACUCCUGACUGACCGAUAGUGAACCAGUACCGUGAGGGAAAGGCGAAAAGAACCCCGGCGAGGGGAGUGAAAAAGAACCUGAAACCGUGUACGUACAAGCAGUGGGAGCACCUUCGGGUGUGACUGCGUACCUUUUGUAUAAUGGGUCAGCGACUUAUAUUCUGUAGCAAGGUUAACCGUAUAGGGGAGCCGCAGGGAAACCGAGUCUUAACUGGGCGUUAAGUUGCAGGGUAUAGACCCGAAACCCGGUGAUCUAGCCAUGGGCAGGUUGAAGGUUGGGUAACACUAACUGGAGGACCGAACCGACUAAUGUUGAAAAAUUAGCGGAUGACUUGUGGCUGGGGGUGAAAGGCCAAUCAAACCGGGAGAUAGCUGGUUCUCCCCGAAAGCUAUUUAGGUAGCGCCUCGUGAAUUCAUCUUCGGGGGUAGAGCACUGUUUCGGCUAGGGGGUCAUCCCGACUUACCAACCCGAUGCAAACUACGAAUACCGAAGAAUGUUAUCACGGGAGACACACGGCGGGUGCUAACGUCCGUCGUGAAGAGGGAAACAACCCAGACCGCCAGCUAAGGUCCCAAAGUCAUGGUUAAGUGGGAAACGAUGUGGGAAGGCACAGACAGCCAGGAUGUUGGCUUAGAAGCAGCCAUCAUUUAAAGAAAGCGUAAUAGCUCACUGGUCGAGUCGGCCUGCGCGGAAGAUGUAACGGGGCUAAACCAUGCACCGAAGCUGCGGCAGCGACACUAUGUGUUGUUGGGUAGGGGAGCGUUCUGUAAGCCUGCGAAGGUGUGCUGUGAGGCAUGCUGGAGGUAUCAGAAGUGCGAAUGCUGACAUAAGUAACGAUAAAGCGGGUGAAAAGCCCGCUCGCCGGAAGACCAAGGGUUCCUGUCCAACGUUAAUCGGGGCAGGGUGAGUCGACC
rnacentral:rRNA from 1 species